rnacentral:lncRNA from 1 species
GUCGGUAUUUACAUUUCUUUUUUUAAGUUCACUCUUUAAACAUUGUAGUACCACAGGAACAUAUGACUCGUGGAAGCCACUGAGCUUUUCGACAGAUUAAAAGAGAUGAGGUUAUAAAAAUGACGGCAAAUUUAUACCUAAGCAUUUCAACUUUUCAAAAUAACAUUCACAUUUACUGAGCAGAAAAAUCCAAAUUGAGGUAAGAUCUAAUAUUAUAUAUUAAGAACUAAUUUGUUAUGUUUGUGUAUGUUUGUACUUUUUUUCCUUUAAUUCGUUUAGAGGUUUCAAUGAUUGAACUGCAACCAUAGUGGAACAGUGCUUCAGAGGGUUUUAUGUUAUCGAAUUGCAUUUAUCAUACCAAGGUUCACUUGAGUAACAUAACACAAAUAAUUUUUGUUCGACACUCAGAUACAUACACAACCACAUACGCACAUGCAUUCGUAAGUACGCAAGUAUAUGAUAAUUGAUAUAUAUAUAUAUAUAUACAAAAAUUCAAUAAUUAUAAGCAUAAUUAUAAUUAGCGUUCAGCAAAUUGCUUCACCACAUACCGAAAUUUAGAAAUCCUAGUUAAAUACUAUUCCUCUACCAUAAGAUAUCUCCCAGAUAGCAAUACUCUCAAUUCACGUAGGUAAAGAGAAAAAAAUAUCGAAUCCACUCGGCUUUGAUCAACCACAUACGCGUUUCUGGAUUAAAGAGAUGUAAAAUUUUUAUUUUUUACUCACUUAUUUCCGUCUUCUGUGUAGUAUUUCAAUUGUAAAUUUAAGAGUACUAAUAAUUAAAUACGCAUUCGACCAAGCGACAUCGAAUAACUAAUAUCCAAAAACCAGCACUUCCGAAUUUAUACAGCCGAGUGAGAACACGCAUUCUUCCCCAAUCACCCAUGUAUGUUACGAGUAAUCCCGCAGAAACUGCAGUUUACUAUCAGGGAGUGAAUUAUAUUUUCAAUAAUAAUAAAGGGUAAAAUUAAUUAAUUAAUAAUUAAUAAUUAAUAAUUAAUAAUUUUACCAAGUACUUCGGUGUGUAAAAAGAAUCUUUAUCGGUAACCUUAUGGUAGAGGAAUAGUAUUUAACUGCUAUUUCUAAAUUUCGGUAUGUGGUGAAGCAAUUUGCUGAACCCUAAUUAUAAUUAUGCUUAUAAUUAUAGUAUUUUUGUAUAAGGUUACCAAACAGCCAGUGGUGUCGUGGAAAGCUGGCGCGCUAUAUUCUGACAGGCUGCUUCUGUCGCUAAAAUUUAAUUUAUACACAGCGCACUAGCGUUCCGCGACACCACUAGCUGUUCGGCUAGUAUCAGUCUAUAUCGGUUUGACUGAUUUUCUGUCUGGCAUUCAGCUUGGCUAGAUGUCACUAAUGAUCCAUGGUGCAGUGAAAUCAUGCAGUGUCAUCCUCCGGUGUACUGAUGGAAUUUUGUCGAGCGUUAAUAGAAUUUCGAUGUUCUUUAGCAUUUGUCGGCUACAAGAAAUGAUUUUUCAAGGUGUUUACAGAAGUCUAAGACGUUAUAAACAACACACCCAAGUUAGGUUGGAUGUACUAAUCAAUAUUUGUAAUAAAGAGGGGAAAGAGUUAUAAAAAAAUUGUGUGCAUAUGUUUAUAUACGCGGGUAUUUGUGUAUGUGCAUACAUAAAUGUGAGAAAUAAUCAGCGUAAAUGUUCCAGCUCUGUGUAAAUAAAAAUCAUUAUUUUUUUUUUCCAGAAUGAUUGCGAAGAUUGCCAAUCUUUUAAUAUUGUUAUUUCUGCUAAUGGGAGCCUCAUCCACUGAUGCACGUGAGUCGGAAAUUAUCCUUUUAAUAUUUUCUUCAAUAACCAUGGCCACUUUAUUUCAAAUAGAAACUUUCCGACUAAAUUUAAUAAAUUACUUCUUGAUAUCAGAAUAUUUAAAGAAAUGGUGAAAUUUGAACUAAGACUGCAGCUCGUUAAAACUAUAAGCAUAAUACAAAAAAAACUAUUUGCCACAAUAAUCUUUUCUACUAUAGGCACAAGGCCUGAUAUUUGGUGGGAGGGGGUUAAGUCAACCCAACCCCCACCCCGCCCCACCCAGUGCUCAACUUGUACUUAAUUUAUCGACUUCGAAAUGAUGAAAGGCAAAGUCGAUCCCGGCAGAAAUAUUCGCCACAAUAAUGACGUUGUAUCUGAGCCAGAAACUACUAUUAUAGAGUAAUACUAAAAUACUUCAUUCCAUUACCUUUUAUUUAAAUGUUAAGUCAUCCUCGUUCCAGCAUUCAAACUGAGGCUCUAUAUUUAAGAGUAAAUGUGUAUAGUGGAGGCGCAAUAGCCCAGUGGUUAGGGCAGCGGACUCGCAGUCGUGGGAUCGCAGUUUCGAGGCUCCGGCAGAGAGUGGUGGCGAACCCUGCUGCACUCUUUCACCACAGCUUUCUCUCGCUGUUUCUGUUGUACCUGUAUUUCAAGUGUCUCACUGAAUCUCCCGAGAACUACGUUAAGAGUACACGUGUCUGUGGAGUGCUCAGCCACUUGCAUGUUAAUUUCACGAGCAGGUUGUUCCGUUGAUCGGAUCAACUGGAACCCUCGUCGUCGUAACCGACUGAGUGCCACGAAAUGUAUAUACGUGCGCGGGCACACACACAGGCACGCACAGACACACACACACACACAUAUAUGUGUAUGUAUAUAUAUAUAUAUAUAUAUAUAUAUAUAUAUAUAUAUAUACAUAAAUAUGUAAUGGUGUCUGUCUGUGUGUGUGUGUUUGGGGUUCAUCCAACCGAUUUUAAUGAUUUUUGGUACAUAGGUAGAUCACAUGCCCUAAAGUUCAAAUAAGGCCGGAAUUUUUCGAAAACUUGAUAAUGCUCAGUUUGUAUCGAUUUUGUGAGCUCAAUCGGGCGUUUUAAUGGAAAUUCCCAUAACGAUGUUAUUUUUCCUGUAGCUUUUUGUAUGUUUUGUCCGAUUUUGAUGAAAAUCGAUCAGUGAGCGAGGCUCAUGGCAGUGAGUUGAUGUCAGUACAUGGUGUUGACAAAAUAUCGAUAAUUACGGCUUAGCAGUGGUUUUAUAAAAUCAAUAGGCUUUUUGCGUGCAAAAUACCCAUUUGCAUUUUAUUUGUGGCCAUAACUUUUUUAGUCUGAGAUGUAGGUAAAUUUUCUGGUGAGGGAGACGAUAAAGAUUGUUAUUUAAUUCAAAAGGGCUUGAAAAGGGCACAAAUGCAAAUAAACAUUUCCUUAGAGACAUUCUAAUCGAUUUUGUAGAAAUUUUACACGUGAUUACAGCUCAUGUCCAUUAGCUGAUCCCAGCAUGAAGAGUUAACAAAAAAUCGAUAACUGCACGUGAGCGGGAGAUUUUAAGAAAUCAAUAGGCUUUUUGUAUGCAAUUACCCAUAGGAUUAAUAUUUUAUGCUGUAGCUUUACAGAAUUCAUCCAAUUUUGAUAAAAUUUAGCAUUUAGGUAAACUUUGUGGUCGGAGUCAUGUAGUAGGAAUUAAAAUUAAACUGGUGAAAAGCAGGAAUCGUCAAAAUUCACUCACAAUAAAAUAAUGAACUGAUUUUGAAGAAAAUUGACCCAUGAGUAAAAUUAAGCACUUCGACAUAUGAAACAUCGAUUAUUCAUAAAAUGUAUUGGAAUGGAAUUUAAAAGUCAAUGGAAUAUUUUCAUGUAAAUGCUCACAUGGAUUCUAUUUCAUGACAUAACCUUAACAUUUUUCUUCAGAUUUUGCUGAGAUUGGAUACGCUGAUUAAUUUUGUACAGGGGGUGGCAUUAAUGGGAGAGAAAUAAACAAACAUCACUCCCAACAUCACUGGCUAUUUGAUUUAUAGUCAAUUGCCUGUCAUCCAUCACCAUGUGGUGAACACGAUCAAUGUUUUCCUCGGUAGUCGCAGAUGCAAGAUGUCCAGGCCUCGGGUCAUCUUCAAAACUCUCCCAUCCGCUCCUAACCUCAGCUGCCCAUUUUUACACUUUCGAUAAAGGCGGCGAGCUGGCAGAAUUGUUAGCACGCCGGGCGAAAUGCUUUGCGGUAUUUCGUCCGCCGCUGCGUUCUGAGUUCAAAUUCCGCCGAGGUCGACUUUGCCUUUCAUUCUUUCGGGGUCGAUAAAUUAAGUACUAGUUACGCACUGGGGUCGAUGUAAUCGACUUAAUCCGUUUGUCUGUCCUUGUUUGUCCCCUCUGUGUUUAGCCCCUUGUGAGUAGUAAAGAGAUACGUUUUUACACUUUCGAUAAAGCUGGAGCGUCACCCUCAAAUGUAGCAACCAUGUCAGCAUGAAUAUCCUUGGGACUUAAACCCUUUUUCUGCGGGUACUUUUUUGUCCAUUUUCAAGAGAAGUCGCUACUAGUUAGAUUUUUAAGUCUUCUUUGAACAGUUAGAUGUCGGUAUGGUGAGAGAGAGAGAGAGAGAGAGAGAGAGAGAGUUUACCAAAGUGCUACAAAUAAUUUCGUGCUUCAGAGUUACAAUAUUUUGGCCGAUUUAUAUAACACGCCAUGUAUCUCCAACCGAUCUUUCGGAAUCAGUGCCUUUCGUUAGAUGUAUUUAAAAGCCAGGGCGCUGGUCUGUGAGAAAACAUGAGAAAAACCUUUCAUUUCAGUAUCUAAUGAAAAGUUGCUGAGUUAGUGCUCAGUUAGAAUGAAGAACUGUAUUGGAUUGUUCGGCAAUCCAGAUUCAAAGAGUCAGAAUUUUCCAUUUUUACGCAUGGAUAAAUGGACUGAUAUCUUGAGCAUUUAAUAGGAUUGUCGUUGCCAAGGUAGCUGGGGUUUUUUCUAUAUUGCUUUAAGUUUCAUGACUUGUCCUCAUGGUUGUUUAGUGACAUCACUGUGAUACUUGGUGUACUGAGGUGACAGCAGAAAAUGAUGUACUAAGGCAAGAAUUAUUUCUUACCAUUUCUUUUGCUGGAUUCAGCAUGGUUAAAUAGAUGUCAUUUGGAAUUUAAUGAAAUUAAUGACUGAACAAACACAGACUUGUGUCACAAGAGCUAGAUACCUAAACAGUAGAAUGUGAGAAAAUAAUACAUACACACACAUACACACGCGCGUGCGCAUGUGUGUAACAAAAAGGAAAUGACAAAGGAAUAAACGAUUAUCUUAUGAACUUCAUUAGCUUACAGCUGUUUCCGCGGUUGGACUCAUAGUUGAGUGCCUGAGUAACAUCUUACAGUUUCAUCAGAGCCUCAAAGAUGAAGUGCAAUUUAUUUGGAAGACUUAUGGUAUUUUCAAGUUAAAGGAAAGAUGGUGACGCAUUGUGCAACAAAAAUGGUUCAUAUUUGGUUGAUUAAAAAUGUAAUGGCAAGUAUUUAUUGACCUUUUCCUUUCCUUUAAAAAUCGGCACGAACUUUCGGGACAACCUAAUACAUACAAACAAGGACAUAAUCGCAUAUGUCUGCACUAGCACAAACGUAAGAUUCCAAACGAUUAUAGUAAGCAGAAGAGAAAGAAUCUGAAGGAAAAAGUCUUCCUUGCUGACGUUUCUCUGUUUCCGAAUGGGAGAUAAUUGUGAAGAAUCUGAGAUGUGACCUUAUUAUGAAAUAGAAGAUGGAUUGAGAGACAACCUAAGCGUUCUAGUGGACAUCAAGGAAUUGAUUCCGAGAGCAAUCACCUAAACAGUACCUGUUUACAUAUUCAUGAACUAAAUUGGAGUUUAUAAUUAAUCGUUUCAACUUUUUUUUUAUUUUUUAUUUCCAGAUAUCAAAUGUUUCAAAUGGGAAAUCUAAAUUGUAUACGAGAAUACAGAUAUUUUAAGCAACAGCAAUAUAAUGCAUGUAGUUAUGUAACUGUGGAGGCGCAAUGGCCCAGUGGUUAGGGCAGCGGACUCGCGGUCGUAGGAUCGCGGUUUCGAUUCCCAGACCGCGCGUUGUGAGUGUUUAUUGAGCGAAAACACCUAAUGCUCCAUGAGGCUCCGGCAGGGAUGGUGGUGAUCCUUGCUGUACUCUUUCACCACAACUUUCUCUCACUCUUACUUCCUGUUUCUGUUGUACCUGUAUUUCAAAGGGCCGGCCUUGUCACUCUCUGUGUCACGCUGAAUAUCCCCGAGAACUACGUUAAGGGUACACGUGUCUGUGGAGUGCUCAGCCACUUACACGUUAAUUCCACGAGCAGGCUGUUCCGUUGAUCGGAUCAACCGGAACCCUCGUCGCCGUAACCGACGGAGUGCUUCCACCAGUUAUGUAACUAAGCAGAAAGCUAUUUUCUAUCAAAAUCUACCUAAAGUUAUUCCGUGAUGAAAUUCAUCAUACAUCAAUAUUUCACUUAGAAUUAUAACUCUUUGUGAGGAAAUAAAAAUACAAUUCAUGAAUAAAAUAUUUUACUAAUGCGCAAUAUAUCUCGAUUCACAAAGAAAUAAUUUGAUGUUUAACAUUUGUAAAACUUUUCACACAAACAUUCCUGUUUUUUUUUUUUUAAAUUUCAUAUUUGAAGUAUAACAUGUAAGAUGAAAAUUAUUUUCAAUUCAGAGGUGAUAUGUCGACAAAUGGAUGAUUACAUCCGAGACCCAUCAGAUUGCGGUGCUUUCUACCGAUGUUUCAAUGGCAGCCCAGUCAGGUUUGUUUGCCCCCGAAAUAUGCUUUUCAGUAGAAGCCGGAAACUUUGUGAUUAUGCCCGUAAUGUCCAAGACUGCAAUAAUUAACAUCAAAAAGGUAAACUUUCUUUCUUAUUUUAACUAAUCACUCUGACAUUUUUAUCUUUAAUAUAAGUCUUUUUUUUUCUUUUUCUUUUUUAUCGUUUGAUUUGUCGUUAGCGCGUCGGACAUGUUUAGCGGUUUUUCUUCCCUUUUGGGGUCGAUAAAAUAAGCACCACUGAACCCCCUCCCCCCCCCCCUACAAUUGUUGGUCAUGUGCUAAAAUUUGAAACCAUUAUUAUGGCUUACUUUGUAAGGCAGCGAGCUGGGCAAAUCGUUAGCACACCGGGUGAAAUGCUUAGCGGCAUUUCGUCGAGGUCGACUUUGUCCUUUAUCAUUUCGGGGUCGAUAAAAUAAGUACCAGUUGAAUAUUAGGGUCGAUCUAAUCGAUUAUCCCCCUCCCUCAAAUUUUCAGACUUUGUAGCUACAGUAGAAAGGAUUAUUAUGGUUUGGUUUGAGCGAUGUAGCUGGCAGAAGCAGUGCAAAUUGUGGAUCGAUAAGUUCUGAGUUCAAAUCCCAUCGAUAUCGACUUUGUUUCCCACUCUACUGCAGCUGCUAUUGGUAGGUCUCUAGCUGUUGCCUUGAUUGAAGUUAUCGUUCCUGAUAUUGAUGUUACUAUUGUUGGUUUGCCUCUUCUUGUUAUUGUGCUUAUUGUUGUUUCCUUUUUCUGAUUGUGUUGUUUGCGCUGGUAGCAGAAACGUUAGCGCGCCGGGCGAAAUGCUUAGCAGUAUUUCGUCUGCCGUUACGUUGUGAGUUCAAAUUCCGCCGAGGUCGACUUUACCUUUCAUCCUUUCGGGGUCGAUAAAUUAAGUACCAGUUACGCACUGGGAUCGAUGUAAUCGACUUAAUACCUAUGUCUGUCCUUGUUUGUCCCCUCUGUGUUUAGCCCCUUGUGGGUAGUAAAGAAAUAGGUAUUAUUACUGCUGCUGCUAUUUUCGUUGCUAUUGCUUUUGUGGUUGUUGGUAAAAGAGUAAAAGAGUAAAGAGUAAAAGAGAGUAUGGAUCCAUCCUGCAGACAAUAAGUAUUUGAAAUAGCUGCCAUGGUUUCAUCACUCUGCACACAUCUAUAAUUGGCAAUGUUAACUGUCAUGCCACCUAGUCGCACUGCCAGGCCUAGAGCUUUUGGAAGUUACCCAUAAUGCCCAGUCUGAAAGCCAGACAUAUACAAAGACACAUGCUUGCCUGUAUCCAUGUACUUUCAUACACUCACUCACCCAUAUAUGUACAAAUAAAUUGGACAUACUUUUUUCUGUUUUGCACAUUAUUUUGAACAGUUCCAAAUACUAAACUAUGGGAUUUCCAGGAAAUUAUGGAUACUGUAUCUACUAAAACUGAACAUAUUGACUUAAAAUGAGAUAUUUUGGUAAUUUACUUCUUUUUUUGUUAUUUUGUUAUUGUAGGAAAUUGCUGAAAACUUUUACUGACAAAUGAAAUUAAAGAGAACUGAAUAUAGGAAAGAAAAUACUUUAAACUAUCCUCUAAUGAAAAUCAAUCCAAAAUAGGGCUUGUUUUCUUCUCACUCCAGAGGGUCAAAAACACUUUGAAAAUAUGCAAAUAUAAUACUU